AAACCACAAACCUGUCAAGGCGAAGGAGGACAUACUCUUCAACCAUGGUGUCACCAUGAAUGUUGGUAUUCCAGCUUCAGGACCUGCUCAUGUCACUGUGUUUCCUAAAAUGAAAGGUCAACUCUCAGCAAAGACCAACAAGGACAUACCUGGACCUG